rnacentral:misc_RNA from 1 species
GUAGGUGAACCUGCGGAAGGAUCAUUAUCACGUAUCCACGUAUAAACCAUUGCGAACUGUGCCCUUUAACCUUUGAGGAAAAGUUGAGUUAGUUUGUAGUUAGAACAUUUCAAAAGCAGUUGUUGUGAUUAACUGUGUUCUGGCUGCCAUGAUUGAGUGAUUUCGGUCUCUCUUUCAUACUUGCUUCUCUUCAAAGUUGUAUCCAAUCACUACUUAUUAACCAUUUUAACCCCAUCUUUAUAAACUUCUG